rnacentral:sRNA from 1 species
CCUAGUAAGCGUGAGUCAUCAGCUCAUGUUGAUUACGUCCCUGCCCUUUGUACACACCGCCCGUCGCUACUACCGAUUGAAUGGCUUAGUGAGACUCUCGGAUCGGGUUUUGGGAACCGGCAACGGAUCCUUUCUUCUGAGAAGUUUGUCAAACUUGGUCAUUUAGAGGAAGUAAAAGUCGUAACAAGGUUUCCGUAGGUGAACCUGCGGAAGGAUCAUUAGAAUAUUCGGGAAUUUUUUCCCUAAAUAUCUUAUUCAAAAAAUUUCCAUCCUAUUAAAAAAUAAUUUUUUAAACUUUAUUAAAAAAAAUAAAGACAACUUUCAACAACGGAUCUCUUGGCUCUUGCAUCGAUGAAGAACGCAGUGAAAUGCGAUAGGUAAUGUGAAUUGCAGAAUUCCGUGAAUCAUCAAAUCUUUGAACGCAAAUUGCACUCCUUGGUAUUCCGAGGAGUAUGCUUGCUUGAGGGUCGGAUCAUAUUAUCGUUUUUUAACGGAUCUGGGUUUUUCCAAGUUUUUUUAAACCUUGGUAACCUAAAAUUUAUCUUAAUAAUAUUUGUAAUAUUGAAAAUGUGUAUCUUACGUUCACGUGAGUUUAUUGACAAUUAUUAUGAAUUUAUUACGUCGUAUUAUUCACUCGGUUUUUUUAACGAUCGGGGCGAAAUGAUACAAUUUUUUAAAAUUCGACCUCAAGUCAAGUAAGAAUACCCGCUGAACUUAAGCAUAUCAAUAAGCGGAGGAAAAGAAACUAACAAGGAUUCCCUUAGUAACGGCGAGUGAACUGGGAAGAGCUCAAAUUUAAAAUCAUCAGGGUUUCCUUGAUGAGUUGUAAUUUGAAGAAAGUGUUUUGAUGUUCGGGUUUUAUCUAAAUCCUUUGGGAUAAGGUAUCAUAGAGGGUGAGAAUCCCGUUCGUGAUUAAACCUCGGAUGUCACUUAAUUCAUUUUCUAAGAGUCGAGUUGUUUGGGAUUGCAGCUCAAAAUGGGUGGUAAAUUUCACCUAAGGCUAAAUAUAUGCGAGAGACCGAUAGCGAACAAGUACCGUGAGGGAAAGAUGAAAAGAACUUUGAAAAGAGAGUUAAAUAGUACGUGAAAUUGUUGAAAGGGAAACGAUUGAAGUCAGUCAUGCUAGUGAGGAAUCAACUCGGUGGUUUUCUUCCGGGUGUACUUUCUCGCCUGGCAGGUUAGCAUCAAUUUCGUUCAUCAUUAAAUGAUCGGGGUAAUGUGGCUUCUCUUCGGAGUAGUGUUAUAGACCUUGGUAGAUGUGAUGAUCGGGAUUGAGGAUUGCAGCGAAUGCUAUUUGGCUAGUCCCCUGAUUUCUGAUGGUCACCUCGCCUUCGACAGCUUGCUGACGUGGGUGGGUUCUGAUUGUCUAGAUGUUAGGGUGAUCAUAUAUUCGCUAAGGAUGCUGACGUAAUGGCUUUAAACGACCCGUCUUGAAACACGGACCAAGGAG